UUUAUUCAGCCACUUUGCGAAACCAUUUCAAACUGUGUGAAAUGGGUCUCAAGAUAUUGAUAGUGUAGGCAUAAGAUUGCUGUGACUUUUCAUCAUGAUGAUUAACUGCUUGGCAGCUGAGGUCAUCAUCUCGACAUGAAAAACGAAACUCAAUUGAACACAGCUGCAAGUGAACGCAUCAUAAGACUUUGAAAAAAGUUACAGCGUGACAAGCUGCGGAGCUGUGGGUCACGGGGAACCGGAGAACGGUUGGCGAAUCUGGAUGAGAGGACGGCGUCGGAGUUACUGUGGACGUUCUUCGCUCAGCAGGUUAGAGUGUCUCCACGCUCUUUUCCCCUCUCCCCUCGUGUUUCUUCCUGUGUGAACUCUGCCGCUGCCUUUCUCAACAUCAGCACUGGCUAUUAGCUAGCUCCUGCUAGCUCCAACAAAGCAUCUCUCAACUGCUACGGACGGACGAGCCUGAAGGACACAGCUGUGAUGACCAAUUGACCAUGUUUUGUCUCUUAUGGCAAAGCAGAAAUAUUAAACACUGGGUUCUUAUCUAAAGUGUAUCAAAUCAGAAAGCAAAAGAUACACAUUGUUGUUAUAAGUUUUUAUUAUUUUAACCAACCAUAAUGAAGAUAGAAAUGCAUUCUUAUCCAUGCCACUUAGCAAUGACUGCCACCACCAAACAGUUGCAGGCCAUCUUUAUUUAAGGGAGGAAUUUAGAAGUGUUGUGUAGCUUCUGAUGAUGAUGCAGUCGUCCACGUGUUGACCACCAUGUUGCUGCUGACGACGUCAGGUGCUGCAGUUCCUCAUCUAUGAAGAGAAGAAACGCACUGUUAAAGAAUGUUUUGAGUUGUGUAUGAAGCACAACAGAUUUCAGAUAGAACCGUUGUACUUUGGUCUGGGUUUGUAUCCUAAUGGUUAAAUGCACAUAUUUUAAGUCGCUUUUGAUAAAAGUACUGAAAGAAAUACAACAUUGUAAAAAUAGAUAAAAUGUCUUUCUACCUCAUCUGUAAUAUUCAAGGUGAUAAUCUCCCACAGAACUAUUGAUAACAGUCCACAUCAAGUCUCUCCACUUCUCUCAGUGUGAAAACAUAAUUAUAUAAUUAAUUUGAGAACUGUUUACAAAACUGAUGUGUGGAGAUUAAAAUCAUAUCUAAACUGUCUAAUUCACUGUAAAACUCCAUGACAUUCGCAGGCCAUCUGUAGUUAAGGGAGCAACGUAUGGAGUGAUGUGUAGAGGGCAGAAACUUGGACUAUGGGCAGAGAAGGUCUCUGGUUCGUCUCCGGUUCGACUCCACGGAGAGACAACAAAAGACAAACCUGGAUUGAUCUGUCCAAAAAUCCAAGAGUCUCCCUACCCUCUCUAGUGCCCCUGAGCAAGGCACCUCACUCCCCCAACAUCUGCUCCGUGAGCGCCGUACAUGGUCGCUCACUGCUCUGUGUGUCCUGCACCAGAUGGGUAAAAAGCAGAGAUUAAAUUUCCCUACCUGCAUGAGUGUGCCUUUGCAUGUCUGUGCAUGUGUUUGGGACGAAUAAAUGGAUCUUAAUCUUAAUCUUUUAAUCUUAAUCAGUUGUCUUCCAGUUGACCAGCAUGAAGCUGCAAAUCUCCACCAUGUUGCUGCUGAGGACAUCAGGAGCUGCAUUAAUGAGGAGCAGAAGCGCACUGUUAUGAAUGUUUUGUGUUGUGUAUGAAGCACCACAUAUUUCAGAUAGAACCGAUGUACUGGGGUCUGGGUUUGUAUACUAAUGGUUAAAUGCACAUACUUUAAAUCGCUUUUGAUAAAA